UACGUAGGGGGCAAGCGUUGUCCGGAUUUAUUGGGCGUAAAGAGCGUGUAGGCGGCCCGGUAGGUCAGCUGUGAAAACUCGAGGCUCAACCUCGAGAGGUCGGUGGAAACCGUCUGGCUAGAGUCCGGAAGAGGAGAGUGGAAUUCCAGGUGUAGCGGUGAAAUGCGUAGAUAUCUGGAGGAAUACCGGUGGCGAAGGCGGCAUCCUGGACCGGCAUUGACGCUGAUGAGCGAAAGCUAGGGGAGCAAACGGG
rnacentral:rRNA from 1 species